CCCGGCCCGCUAAAAAAAUCCCUCGUCCGAUCCCCAACCUCCCCCCAUCCCAUCGCCGCUGCUGCCUACCCCUCCUCCUACCGGUGCGCCACCACUCCCGCCUCCUUCCGGCGCGCCGUCAUCCCCGCCUCCUACCGGCGCGCCGCCGGACCCUCCUUCUUCCCUGGAGCGCCGCCACCCCGCUGCCUCCUACCGGCGCGCCGUCGGACCCUCCUUCUUCCCUGGAGCGCCGCCACCCCGCUGCCCCCGCCAUCUCCCACCAUGGGGUAACCCUAGAUGGCGCCGGCCCGCCGCCGCCGACGUCGCUCCUUCUCCCUCGGCCCUCAGCCACCAAACGGCCGCUGCAUCACGCCGAUUAGGUCCUACCCCAGGACAGCCACGGGUGUCGUCAUCUCCAGAAGCCUGCCCCCAAAUCGUUGCCACCUGCGCCUCCGAUUCAUCCAACGUCGGUCAUCUCCCUCUUCGUCCUCCACGGGUGUUGCUCUGCCUAGGUCUAUAAUUAACGUCCAUGCCCCAACGCCUUCUCGCCGUUCCUCCCCUGAGCGCGCCCCGCGGCUAACCCUAGGGACCGAGUCAGGCUUGCCGGCGUGGCCGCGUCGUGUGCUGUUGGCACCCCACUCCACCUGCUCUGCUGCGCCCCGGUCUCCAACAGCCAUUCUGAGGAACCCAUCUCGCCGCCACCAUCGUCUGCUAUCCUCCAACAAGUGUGCUGCGGUACGCCGAUGUCCUCCCAUCGGCAAGCUCCGCCCCUGCCGGCAUCGUCCACCCACACCAUGUCCUUCUCUUUGCCAAGCAGCGUUAAGAAGCAGCUAGACACUUUGGUUUUGCAGUUCCAAAACUACACAAAAGUUGGAGAGAACGUGUACCAUUACCAUCAGUGGUCGGGGAAUAGAACAUGAAUCAGACAAUUCGUUCUUUGUACAAUCAGAGUUUAGAGGGCAGUAUACUGCAUCACAAUUUUGGUUCUUUUGUUGUUGCUUGUAUAAAUGAUCACCUACAUUGUAGGGGCUUCUCCCUAUACUGGGCUUUAGAAUGUGUCGCAACUAAAAGUCAAGGAAUUUUUUCAGUCGAAUAAAAUUUAGUAACUAGCCUUUUCAUAUUGAUCUUUAUCUGCAGCGUGAUGGGUGUGGACAAAAACAUGUGGUGUUACCUUACAGUAUGUACUUUAUCUUCCUUUAUGCCGCAUACAUAAUGGAAUUAGAAAGUAUAUUUUAAGUAUAUUAAAACUAGCCUGUCCCUUCCUUUUAGUGUACUGAAUUAGUUCUUAUAAUCUAAUCAAGUGUACACUUAUCUGUUGUCUGUACUAUAGCGGUGAUUAUCAGAAGUCCAAGACCACACUGUAGGCAGGAAAAAGGAAUGUUCUUGUAGGUUGCUCGCGGGUGACUUCUCAGGUGUCACGGCGCUUGCAUUGUAGAUUAGUAGAGGGAAUAUUGAGACGACGAGGAGAGGCGACUUAACUGCAGUCCGCACAACACCAUGAACCAGGGUAAAGAGGUCAAUCUCUUCCGAUACACAAUUGUUGAGGUGUUCAAAAAUCUUAGUGAGAGAGGACAUUGACGGUGCGAGAAUGGAACAUAACGAGUUUUUUUUUUGUGUGUGUGUGCAUUACCGAAACGUUGCACGACAUGUUCUUGAAGUCCGCCCUCUCAUUGAUUGGAACGGGGUGAGAGUUGUGGAAUUUUUGCUGUGACCACCUGGACUAAGAUGACAGGGCUGACAAAGAUGAAGCCAAGUUGAAGAUUCAGAGUUGCUAGGCAGGCACAGUUAACAGGGAUAAGAAACUAUAGAAGAUUUAUCAAAUCAGACAUGGGCUUGGUUAUGCAAUGAUUCAUUGGGAUCUGAGAUAAUUUCUGCCUGGAGCAGAAGGUUAUAGGGGUGGCCCAGAUAUCAUGGAGAGGCGCCGUGCUCGGUCCAGUAGGAGCUCCGGGUCAACACUGGGGCUGCGUGGUGGGCAUGAACCAUGGCGACUGCCUUCCGGCUUUAUUCUGUUGGCUCGUACAUUUGCCGCUGGCUAUUCUUACAGAAUCAUGAAUUAGACUUAGGAGAAUUGGCAAGUCAUCACAUGAAUUUUUUUAAACUAUGAGGUGCUACAGGUAAACAUGAUGAAUUCACACUUUUAAACUGCCUGGUGAUUUUUUAAAUCUCCAGGCAAUCAGAACAUAUGCAUUUUCUUUGUUUCUCGCUUCAUGUUUUGUCAUGGACUACAUGAGUUUCAUGUAUACCAGAAUGUUUUCAAACCUGUGAUUAACAAGUUCUUUUCCACUUCUAAAUUACAAAUAUCUUAUUGAUGCUACCAUAUUGUAGAGUGUACUUGAUGGUGAUAUUUUUUUACCUCUUAAAUGUUGAAAUUUAGUUAAUAUUCCUAUAUGUUGAAAGUAGUAAUAGUCCUUAGUUUUCAUAGUGGUUCAUGAUCUUGGUGGUGCCUUUUUUUCUUUGUUCUACUAACAAAAAAGGACGCAUCCUAUGUGAAAUAUUUGUGGUUUCGGAAAUAAAUUAUGUUGUAAAUCAUCAUUAACAUGGCAUGUGAUUGCAUCUUGCACUACUUUCAGCCAGCGAGUUGUCUAAACAAUAGAUGUUCUGAUCACUAGCAUGAUUUUGGAUUGAAUCUAAAAUUUGUUUCAGUUUGUAAGCUAAUCUAAAAUAGGUAAAAGGCAUAUUAGGAGAGAAAACAUUGUUUGUGCAACUUUACUCUCUUCAGGUCGCCGUUUUGUAAAGUAGUUCUGCCAUCUUAGGACAUGUGAGGAAAUGCAUAUUUGGCCAUUAUUCAAACGAACAUUUAGACCUCA
rnacentral:rRNA from 1 species